rnacentral:rRNA from 1 species
CGCGUAGGCGGUUUGAUUAGCUGGAUGUGAAAGCCCCGGGCUUAACCUGGGAAUUGCAUCCAGAACUGUCAGGCUAGAGUACAGUAGAGGUGAGUGGAAUUUCCUGUGUAGCGGUGAAAUGCGUAGAUAUAGGAAGGAACAUCAGUGGCGAAGGCGGCUCACUGGACUGAUACUGACGCUGAGGUGCGAAAGCGGUGGGGAGACAAACA